rnacentral:rRNA from 1 species
UACGAGGGGAGCAAGCGUUGUUCGGAUUUACUGGGCGUAAAGGGCGCGUAGGCGGCCACGACAAGUCACUUGUGAAAUCUCCGGGCUUAACUCGGAACGGUCAAGUGAUACUGUCGGGCUAGAGUACAGAAGGGGCAACUGGAAUUCUCGGUGUAGCGGUGAAAUGCGUAGAUAUCGUCAGGAACGCCGAUGGUGAAGACAGGUGACUGGGCUAGUUCUGACACUGAGGCACGAAAAGCAUGGGGAGCGAACGGG